UGAAUUGGAGACAUCUCCCGACAACGGCUCAACUUUUGUCCUCGACGUCCCUGGUGGACGCUGCGGCAAGUGGCGAGACUUCCGCUGUCUCGGAUGCACGGAGGAGCGCCGUGUUGAUUAUUUAUGUUGCAUCUUCACUGUAGCCGCAUUGGGAAUCAUAGCGCAAUUGUUUAAGAAUCCAAGCAUAACCCGUGAGGCUGCGCAUUCCGAGUUUCAUCUUACGUGCUCUCCUACAGAUCGGUGACCCGGACGCUGGGAGAUCUCGGUGGGAGAUCAGCCGAAGUCCACGGUGGUGCUUUGCUGUUGGAACUCUUGUUUGCUCUUCGGCUACUCUCGGUUUGGACGAACGGUCGCGAUUCCGUAUGCGUGCUCCGUUUGACAGCUGAUGUUGGACGAGAGGGCGACCGCCGUGCUUUCUGUGACGUGCGGCCGCCCCAAAGGUGUGCUCAGUGGGAUGGAGGUUCUCUACACGGCCGAGUUGUGAGGUCCUCGCACUGAGGCUUAUCGCCAUAUUGGCGUGCGGCUCAUCUGAGAUGCCACUUUAGCGCAUCGCGCGAUGGAAGAAACCAAGAUCAUCUAUCACAUCGACGACGAGGAGACCCCGUACCUCGUCAAGGUGCCCGUGCCGCCCGAGCGCGUGACGCUCGCCGACUUCAAGAAUGUCCUCAACAGGCCCAACUUCAAGUUCUUCUUCAAGUCGAUGGACGAUGAUUUCGGGGUGGUAAAGGAAGAAAUCGUAGAGGAUGACUGCCGGUUGCCUUGUUUCAAUGGCCGUGUGGUAUCAUGGCUUGUGUCAGCAGAUGGGAGCAGCGUUGUGUCUGAAGGAACUGAAACACACCGGCCACGCCCAUUUCCUGAUACAGCAGAGACCAGCUUUACUGAGUCCGAGUCUGCCAUCAGCUCCCACAAAGAGCACCACCACCACCAUCAAAGGGGGCCUGGCCGCCACCGAGAUAAAGCCGGCCGUUCCAACGGACAUGCAGCAGCUAAGCCAGGGGCCGCCUCGGUUCUAACCACCAGUGACAUAGAAACCACAAGCUUCCUAGACUCUGAGGAUGAGACUACCAGCCGGAUUUCGACCACCACUGAAGAAAGCAGCGUGUCACGAAUUUAUGCGAGGCACCGGCGUAGGCGGCGAAAGAAGAUGCCUCCCAUGAGUCGGACUUCUUCAAUCAGCAGCAUCACAGACAGCACGCUGUCACUAAACAUCAUCACUGUCACGUUAAACUUGGACACGGUGAACUUCCUUGGCAUUAGCAUAGUGGGCCAAUCGAACAAAGGCGGAGAUGGUGGCAUCUAUGUGGGCUCCAUCAUGAAAGGGGGUGCUGUUGCAUUGGAUGGUCGCAUUGAGCCAGGUGACAUGAUACUUCAAGUGAACGACAUCAACUUUGAGAACAUGAGCAACGACGAUGCUGUGCGAGUACUACGAGAAACUGUGCAAAAACCUGGUCCCAUCAAGUUGGUGGUAGCCAAGUGUUGGGACCCCAAUCCCAAGGGCUACUUCACCAUCCCACGCACCGAGCCCGUGCGCCCCAUCGACCCAGGAGCUUGGGUGGCUCACACAGAGGCCGCACGUGGCUCUUCCUCGGCGGUUGGCCACUCGCGGCUUUCGCUGGCCCCGGGACCUUCACUCCGCCAACCACUGCUUUACGAUGGACCCCUGAGGCCUCCAUCUGUUUCCACCCUCACCUCCACUUCAUCGUCGGUCACUUCAUCGGUGCCCGAGUCAGAGAGGCAGCUACAGGAGCCAUUACUGACUGUAGAGACUGACAUGGAGACAAUCGUGAAAGCCAUGGCAGCUCCCGAUUCAGGACUGGAUGUGAGGGACCGCAUGUGGCUCAAGAUCACUAUACCGAAGGCCUUUAUAGGGGUGGAUGUGGUGGACUGGCUCACAACGCACGUGCAAGGCUUUCAAGACCGCAAGGAGGCCAAGAAGUAUGCCAACCAGCUACUCAAGGCAGGCCUCAUCCGGCACACUGUCAACAAACUUUCCUUCUCUGAGCAGUGCUACUAUGUGUUCAGCGACCUUUCCCUUGACAUGUGUUCACUGCGGCUUCAAGAGGAAGACGAGGAAGGUGGGGCGGGGGGCAUGGUGCCCCCCUGGGGGUGCUUGGGUCCCCUACUGCCAGCUGGGUACGUGUGUGGUAGCACGGCUGCGCCGAGUGCUGCCGAAACACAACUGGCCUCCUACGUCAACUAUGCUCGUGAGGGGAGCACCCAUUCGGGAUCCGGGGGCAGUGGCGGACCACCCGCGGAGUCUAGCCGCAGCGUGGACGGUGCCGAGGGCUCCCAAGAACUGACCGGUAGUAGGCAGUCCUUCCGCAUGGCCAUGGGCAACCCCUGCGAGCUCUUUGUGGACGUCAUGUGACGCGUGCAUGAGCAUGCCACUGUCCCACAACCAUUGAAGCAGAGUGUACGAGCUCCAUGAGGUGGAAGAGGAUGGCUUGGAGUAUCAGUACUCAGACAAGGGCUUGGUCUAACGCCUUAGCCUUCACGAUGGAGCAGCACUAGAGCAUCACAGGACUUCAACAUAAACUUGACACUGCUUCUGGCCAACGCACGUUUUGAGCCCAACGAACCUACCGCGCCGAGGCGUGCUUUUCACACUCGGCAGUAAAACCCGAGUCAUUUUUUUUUUAUAGAGCCCUGCAGGUCGGCAAGUGGUUGUGGCAAAUCAUCAGUGGACAGUGGUGCAAUUCUGCGGCCAAUCAUACGUACCGCAGUUGCACUGUGAGCACUGCUGCAGCAGUGUGCUCUUUUCAGUGUGCUAUACCGAGGCCAACAAAGUGUGCAUGACGUGUGGCAGCUAUGCGAGGACAUUCCGACUGGCACAGUACUAUCCCAUUGUAAUGUGUUUGUUGACCAAUGUCUGAUGUGUGUUUAUGUGGAUGACUGCAGGCCAACAAUUUUUAGCGUGCUUGUUUUUAUGAAGUGACCUCUACACUGUGCUUGUCACAAACCAUGAAUAAAAGGUUGCUAUAUAGUGC
rnacentral:misc_RNA from 1 species